UACAGAGGGCGCGAGCGUUGUCCGGAAUCACUGGGCGUAAAGGGCGCGUAGGUGGCUGGCAAAGCGUGCGGUGAAAGCCCGGGGCUCAACCCCGGGUCGGCCGUGCGAACUGGUCAGCUCGAGCGUGGUAGAGGCGGGUGGAAUUCCGGGUGUAGCGGUGGAAUGCGUAGAGAUCCGGAAGAACACCGGUGGCGAAGGCGGCCCGCUGGGCCACGGCUGACACUGAGGCGCGACAGCGUGGGGAGCAAACAGG
rnacentral:rRNA from 2 species